rnacentral:rRNA from 1 species
AUUGAAUGCUAGCGGCAUGCCUAACACAUGCAAGUCGAACGGCAGCACAGCGUGUAGCCAUACAUGUGGGUGGCGAGUGGCGGACGGGUGAGUAAUACGUAGGAAUCUGCCUUGUAGUGGGGGAUAACCCGGGGAAACUCGGGCUACUACCGCAUAAUCUCUACGGAUCAAAGUGUGGGAUCUUCGUCCCUCACGCGAAAAGAUGAGACUACGCAUGAUUAGCUAGUUGGUAGGGUAAAGGCCUAACAAGGCAACAAUCCGUAGCUGGUCGGAGAGGAUGAUCAGCCACACUGGGACUGAGACACGGCCCAGACUCCGACGGGAGGCAGCAGUGGGGAAUAUUGGACAAUGGGGGGAACCCUGAUCCAGCAAUGCCGCGUGUGUGAAGAAGGCCUUCGGGUUGUAAAGCACUUUUAGUGGGGAAGAAAAAAUCAAGACUAAUAUUCUUGAGAAUUGACGUUACCCGCAGAAAAAGCACUGGCUAACUCUGUGCCAGCAGCCGCCGCCG